rnacentral:lncRNA from 1 species
GGUCAAAAGUGCAUUGCACUUUAGACGUGGAAGCGCGAAGUUUAAGUGUAAUAUCUCGAAAUUGACUGAUUAUGAAGUUUGAUGAGUGGAAGCGAUAAUUGGAAUUACCCUACAUUUUCUAAAGGGUUUAGAGAGGUUGGUGGACAGGUAUGAGAAUGAUUAGAUUGCGGGAGGCGAGGAAGUGCAUUGCUGCUGCGUUUCUGCACAUUCUGCAUUGCUGU